rnacentral:rRNA from 1 species
UAAGCGGAGGAAAAGAAACUAACAAGGAUNCCCUAGUAACUGCGAGUGAAGCGGGAAAAGCUCAAAUUUAAAAUCUGGUGGUCUUUGGCCAUCCGAGUUGUAAUCUAGAGAAGCGUCUUCCGCGCUGGACCGUGCACAAGUCUCCUGGAACGGAGCGUCGUAGAGGGUGAGAAUCCCGUCUUUGGCAUGGACACACCAGGGCUUUUGUGAUGCGCUCUCGAAGAGUCGAGUUGUUUGGGAAUGCAGCUCAAAAUGGGUGGUGAACUCCAUCUAAAGCUAAAUAUUGGCGAGAGACCGAUAGCGAACAAGUACCGUGAGGGAAAGAUGAAAAGCACUUUGGAAAGAGAGUGAAACAGUACGUGAAAUUGUUGAAAGGGGAACGCUUGAAGUCAGUCGCGUCGACCGAGACUCAGCCUCGCCUCGGCUUGGCGUACUUCUCGGCCCGACGGGUCAGCAUCAAUUUCGCCUCUUGGAUAAUGGCGAGGGAAACGUGACACCUUUACGGUGUGUUAUAGUCUCUCGUCGCAUGCAAGGGUCGGGAUUGAGGAACUCAGCACGCGCCUUUGGGCGUCGGGGCUUUGCCUACGAUACGUGCUUAGGAUGUUGGCGUAAUGGCUUUAAACGACC